AGACAUGUUUCAAAGAAAGUUUAUUAUCUGGUGGAAGAGAGCACUGAAGUGUGUAUGCUUCAACUGUGCCUCUGGAUGAAAACAUGAAUGGUUUUCAUACUCACUUUUUAUAAUUGAAAGAAUAAUAAUGUUUAUACAAGUUGAAUAAAAAGCAAAUAUGUACAAAUUGACAAAUGAAAAGCAAGCCUAAAAGCCUACUAAAGAAAGCCUAUUAAAAGUAAACGAAGUUAGUCUCUCCAAUAUGGGAAAAUUCAUGCCGGUUGUUUUUGUUGUUUUCUUUUCCUAUUUAGCCCCUUUACCCAUCA
rnacentral:lncRNA from 1 species